GGCCCAUUUAUGUAGUUACGCUUGGACGGAUAUUUUUCCCUCCAAAUUUUAUUGAGCCAUCCGAGAGCUCCUUCCCGGUUUUUCUUCGUUGGGAGCUAGUGCUAACAUCGGAUGUUAGCUUGUUUUUUCUGAAUCUUCGACUCGUCAAAUUGUGUUACAGAUCGAGCACUCCUCUAUUAUCGUUUGCUUGUAGAAAUCUGGAAUGAUACGGAGACGGAGCGAAGGAAAAAGUUGUUGGAGCUGCGUGGAAUUGAUCCUGAUGAGUUUUUGCUGAACCUUCUACUAAUUGCGAAAUCGGUAUAAGGCAAACAAAUUCCAGCUGAGAAUCUUAAACCUCAACGGCAGACACAUAAG